AUCAGAAAUCUCUUGCCUGGAUUAUAGAAACAACACUUGGAAGCCUCAUUUCAGUGAUUGCAGCUUUUGCCCUUAUAUCCGUCCAACUGCACUGAAGCCAAGUUUCUGCAGAACUGGAAGACUGGUUUCUGGGAACCUGGUGAUUGGUCAGUCCAAGUCCAAAGUGGUUGCUCUUCAUGGAUUUGCACAAGUAAAUAUCAACAUUUCAGGCCAACAUUACUUUGUGAAUGCCAAUCCCUGGGCAUAAAUUUUUUUCCCAGCCCCUAUGUUCUUCCCUACCACCAGCCCGACUCAGCACCUGGUGAAAUCUCACUCUGGCUUCCAGGUCCAGCUCAUAUACUUCCUCCUCUGUGCAUCCUUCCCUCACACCCACCCUUCUCCAGUGCAGUUCAUUAUGUCCUCUGCAGUGUACACAGAGGACAUACAUCCCUCUAACAUUGUGGUUACCCUGCUGUGUGCUGAAAGCCACCCUGGUAUCUGCUUGUUUCUCUCUUUUGCACUUGAUGAAAUAUUCACAGGUGGUCACAGUCUCAGUCACCACUGUUUUCAGUAUCAAGCUUGGUGCUGAACAAUUGCUCAGUAAAUGUCCAUCAGAUGAACAGUGGGUACCUACUUGGGAAAACAUAAUAAAAUGUAUUUGUCCUAUCACCUAACUUUAUUUACAAAGGAAUUUUAAAUAGAAUCAUAAAGCGUCAGAAUAGGAAAGAAACCAUGAAGUCACCAGAGGAAGUGGUGGUAACUGUUUCCCAGUGAAAAUCCCCAAAUAGGUUUAUGUGGGCAAAUGAGAAGGAACCUUGGAAAGAUUCCACUGGAAGGCAUUUUGAUUUCCCAGAGUGGGCUGGCCCCUGUAAUGCAAACACAGAUCUGAUCAUGAGCUCUGAGCCGAGCAGACUUGCUCUUUUUGAACCUCCUCCUGCUAGGAUUCCUUGGGCCCUUCAAGGGGCACUCCCAGACUAGGGUAACAGGGGUUUCUCCCACUACAGAAGUGUGGAAUAUUAUGGAAUACUAUAAAGUGACUCUGUUCCCUCCAACCCCUUCACUUCCCGCUUACCUCUCCAUCCACUCUGCCCCCAUUGACUGAUUUCUUCUGGUUCUGAGGAAGUCUCUCCUCCUGACUCAGGAUCAAGGCCAGUCUCAGGCCCUGCACCACCAUCAUUCUCCAUGCCACAGGAGCACCCUCCACUCCUAGGCCCUGCGUGUGGUGGCUGAUCACUACAUGCUUAGCUGGGCCUAGCACAAUGCUGACGCAGGGACAUAUCCUUCUUCACUCUCUGGCAACCCCCUGGACGCAUCUGCCCUUUCAGGAUUUUGUUUCUGACAGUCUACCUCCAGCUGGCUUCUUUUCACUAGUUUCAGCAGAUUUAGGCUGGGUCUAGGUUUAGGGCUCCUGAGAAGUCUCAUUCCCCCUUCCUUCCCUGUGGGAAGGCCGUUUCUUACUUCCUACUGAAGAUGAGAUGUCUUCUCUAGAUUUUAUAGCUCAAAUGUCAAAUAAGGUGGGGUUUAGGCCUUGGGAUCAGCAUGAGGAGAUUUGACUGCCCUCGUUUCCCUCAUUCAAAGCUGUGCGGGUGUCCCCAGGAGCUUGCACCAGCUCUGCCCCAUCUGAGAAUUCCCUUCUGAUUCUCUGUUCAACUUCUUCCAAUUAAUGUGCUCAGGUUGUGAAUAUCACUAUGGGGCUUAAAGCAGUUAAAUUCUUCAAAACAGCUUUUGACUUUUAGCUUCUGGGUUCUCAAAAGUCCCCCAACCCCACCAGCUCCAGGCCCUUAUAUGCAGUUUUUACCCCAUUUAUACACUGCCGUCUGAAACACAGCAGAAAUUGCAUUCAUCCCUCAGAGAGUGUGAAUGUUUUGAGAAAAUUACUCAGCAUUUAAAUGUCAAGAUAAUCAAGACCACACAGCCACAAAUAAUUACAUAAGGAUAGAGAAGAGGCAUCUCCACUACCCAGGCUGCCAGGGCCCUUCCCAGGGCCAGGGAGUCCAGCCCACACGUUUCUCAGGUAAAGAGGAAAUAAACAGCAGCAAUGGACCACGGCCCUACCCCCCAUGGAAGCUCCCCCUGACCUCUCCUGAGGUCUCAUCUGAGGCCCAUAAGUACUUAGACUGGAUGGAUAUCUCACCCUCAUAAAGCCCUCCAUGGCAAUCAGUUUUAUUUUGAAAAUUGUUCUACAUCUCCCCUCUGCUAAGACUUGAAAAAAAAAAAAAAGGAAAAUGCUUAAGGAAAUAUUGCAAUGCUCUUUGAGUCCUGAUGAAGCAGCCAUACUAAUUCACUUCUUCCUUGUGGGAGGUGGUGAAACACCACACAGCUGCUCAAAGCCUAUUUUGGAAGUGGAUGCUGGAGAGCAGCAGCCCCUGGGCACUCCCUCCUCUGAAGGCCUUCACUGUGUUUCAAAUGAAUUGGAGGACUUGAUUCAAGCAGGGAGAUAUUUUCCUGAUUUGUUUUUUAGUGUCAGGGCACUGGCAGCAACUGGAGAUGUUUAAAUUGUGAGACAUCAGGAAGUGAGAGCAUGAGUACUUACACAUAGAUUGGGGGAAGACUCCAACCACAGGAUUUGCAUUUAGAGAGAGGGCUGGGACUAAGAUAUCUGGAUUCCACAGGACCAUUUCUAUUUCAGAGAGAUAUCCUCCUAAUUAAUUUCUUUACAAAUAAAGAGCUGUCCUUAUCCUAAUUAUUAAAAGUGAAGACAGAAACACACUUAUGGCAGGGCGCGGUGGCUCACACCUAUAAUCCCAGCAGUUUUGGAGGCUGAGGUGGGCGGAUCACCUGAGGUUAGGAGUUCGAGACCAGCCUGGCCAACAUGGUGAAACCCCAUCUCUACUAAAAAUACAAAAAAUUAACUGGGCUUGGUGGUACACACCUGUAGUCCUAGGUACUUGGGAGGCUGAGGCAGGAGAAUUGCUUUAGCCUGGGAGGCAGACAUUGCAGUGAGCCGAGAUUGCACCACUGCACUCCAGCCUGGGCAACAGAGGAAGACUCUGUCUCAAAAAAAAAAAAAAACAAAAACAAACAAACAAAAAACAAAAAAAAAACAAAAGAAAGAAAAGAAAAAGAAAAACCCCCCAAAAACGAAACAAAACAAAACAAAAACACUUACGAUGUUCUUGUCAUGGUAAUUGAUAUAAAUUGUCACCUUGCCAAGGUGCCAAGCUCCAUCCUGCACACAGUGGGGAGAUAGCACUCCCACAAGCUCAGACCAAGAUCAGCUAAAUAGGGUACAUGCAAGUCAAUGGCAUCUUGGCAGCUGAGACAGUAGGUGCAUGGGGCAGUCAGAGAGAGUGAGAACUGAGCCUGGUGGUGAGUUGUCUAGGAAAUCAGCAGUCCAUCUACAUAAGGAAUCCACCCUCUAUGACUUUACUGCCUCAUGCACGAUAUUACAUCCUUUAAGGAAGCCUUUAAUUCAUCUAUUGUCAAAACAGUGAAGGCUCAUAAAACUCUUACAGCCCAUUCACACAACUUCUCUUUGAGAAUGCAGCUGGGCACUGAUUUGGUUGAUGGUGUCUGUCUUGAAGCUUCCUAAUCAGACUGCAAAUCUCCCCAUUAGCUCAUCAAUGACCAUGUUACAAAAUCUAUAAGUCAUUUCCCGGGCCUUGUCCUACUUGACCUAUCAGCAGCAUUUGACCUAGCAGACCAUGUGCUUUCCAGGAUACCAUAGUCUCCUGAGUUGGCUCGCCCCUUUUUAUGUCAUUCUUCUUCAUGGAGCUCUCAUUAACCUGAGCUCUAAAACAUUGCAGUCUCCUGGUUCUUAUAAUUCAUAGACCUCUAAGGUGCUGCAUGGAUUUACACUAGGGGGCACAUUCACAUAGAUAUCUUGGUGCUAUCUGGAGUUCUGCAAUGCCCAGUUAUUUACUAAACCAUUGCUGAAGCAUGAUCAUAGACCAAUCAAUGCUGGUCUACCAACUGUUUGCUGCCAGCUCACAACAAGACAAGGACAGAUAUUGAGAGCACUUAUUUAGAAACAUUUAGAGCAAAGUGACAGUGUUGCUGCAUCCACACUACCCCAGUUAGACUCUUCUAGUGUUCAUGAUCUGAUCAGGUACAGACCAGUUUGGGCAUUGUUGAACUCGUGGAGAGACACACGUGAUGUGAGCUGUGUACCGGGCAUGUGAAAUAGGAUAGAGUGUGAUAUUUUCACUUAAAUUAGUCGAGUGAAAGUACAUAAAAUCUGAAUCCAUGUCUUUUAUGGAAAAAUAAUUUCAAUAAAAAAUAAGUAACCCAACUGUAGUUAAUAAUAUUGUAUUGGAUACUUAUAAUUUACUGAGAGUAGAUCUUAAGUGUUCUCACGCACACACAAAAAAAGAUUAUUGUGAGGUGAUGAAUGUGUUAACUAGUUAACCUGCUUGUAUUAAUCAUUUUACAAUGUAUAGGUAUAUUAAAUACCAUGUUGUACACUUUAAAUAUAUACAAUUUUAUUUGUCAAUUAUACUUCAAUAAAGCUGAAAAAAUAUAAUUUAAAUCAACUAACAUGUUAUAGGAUAUGUCAUUGAAUGUGGCUGCUGCUGAAGAAUUGAAGAUGGAUAUUGAAAAUAUAACUUUCAUUUUACAUAAAGGCUAAAUAUGAAUAUCUUGAGCCUAGAGAAUUUGCUUUAAAAUUCUUUCUUCCAUACCCAUCAACCUAUCUCUUCUACCAUGAGUAAUAGUAAAACAAAACAUAGAAAUAAUUUAGGUACACCUUGUCCUCAAUAAGUACUCUUGUCAUCAAUCCAACUUAGAUAAGUUAACAAGGAAGAAGCAAAUUCAUUUGUCCCUUUAAAAAGUUAAAUGUUGAUAUACAGUGAAUGUUCAAAAUGUGUGUAGAGAUUUUGAAAAUGUGAAAUCACUGUCUCAUUCUUAAUGUUUUGCUUAGCUGUAUUUCAAAAGGAUAAAAAAUAAAUGCAAUGCUGUCACUAAUCACCUAUAUGCAUAAUUUCAAUGAGCAAUGCACAGUUUUGGUAAUUUUUUUCUACAUUGUGCUUUU
rnacentral:lncRNA from 10 species